GAGCACGUAGGUGGGUUUGUAAGUCAGAUGUGAAAGCCUUCUGUUCAACGGGAGAAUUGCAUCUGAAACUGCGAGUCUUGAGUGUAGGAGGGGAGAAUGGAACUUCCGGUGGAGCGGUGAAAUGCGUAGAUAUCAGAAGGAACUCCGGCGGCGAAAGCGAUUCUCUGGCCUAUUACUGACACUCAGUGUGCGAAAGCUAGGGGAGCAAACGGGAUUAGAUACCCCGGUAGUCCUAGCCGUAAACGAUGGGCACUAAGUAGAGGGGUUUU
rnacentral:rRNA from 1 species